AGAGUUUGAUCCUGGCUCAGGAUGAACGCUGGCGGCGUGCCUAAUACAUGCAAGUCGAACGCACAGCGAAAGGUGCUUGCACCUUUCAAGUGAGUGGCGAACGGGUGAGUAACACGUGGACAACCUGCCUCAAGGCUGGGGAUAACAUUUGGAAACAGAUGCUAAUACCGAAUAAAACUCAGUGUCGCAUGACACAAAGUUAAAAGGCGCUUUGGCGUCACCUAGAGAUGGAUCCGCGGUGCAUUAGUUAGUUGGUGGGGUAAAGGCCUACCAAGACAAUGAUGCAUAGCCGAGUUGAGAGACUGAUCGGCCACAUUGGGACUGAGACACGGCCCAAACUCCUACGGGAGGCUGCAGUAGGGAAUCUUCCACAAUGGGCGAAAGCCUGAUGGAGCAACGCCGCGUGUGUGAUGAAGGCUUUCGGGUCGUAAAGCACUGUUGUAUGGGAAGAACAGCUAGAAUAGGGAAUGAUUUUAGUUUGACGGUACCAUACCAGAAAGGGACGGCUAAAUACGUGCCAGCAGCCGCGGUAAUACGUAUGUCCCGAGCGUUAUCCGGAUUUAUUGGGCGUAAAGCGAGCGCA
rnacentral:rRNA from 1 species